rnacentral:rRNA from 1 species
AGAGUUUGAUCAUGGCUCAGAUUGAACGCUGGCGGAAUGCUUUACACAUGCAAGUCGAGCGGCAGCGCGGGGCAACCUGGCGGCGAGCGGCGAACGGGUGAGUAAUGCAUCGGAACAUGUCCAGUCGUGGGGGAUAGCCCGCCGAAAGGCGGAUUAAUACCGCAUACGCCCGAGAGGGGAAAGCGGGGGACCGUAAGGCCUCGCGCGAUUGGGUUGGCCGAUGUCCGAUUAGCUUGUUGGUGAGGUAAAGGCUUACCAAGGCGAUGAUCGGUAGCUGGUCUGAGAGGAUGAUCAGCCACACUGGGACCGAGACACGGCCCAGACUCCUACGGGAGGCAGCAGUGGGGAAUUUUGGACAAUGGGGGAAACCCUGAUCCAGCCAUUCCGCGUGAGUGAAGAAGGCCUUCGGGUUGUAAAGCUCUUUUGUCCGGAACGAAACGGUGCAGGUGAAUAUCCUGCGCUACUGACGGUACCGGAAGAAUAAGCACCGGCUAACUACGUGCCAGCAGCCGCGGUAAUACGUAGGGUGCAAGCGUUAAUCGGAAUUACUGGGCGUAAAGCGUGCGCAGGCGGUUUUGUAAGCCAGAUGUGAAAGCCCCGGGCUUAACCUGGGAAUGGCAUUUGGGACUGCAAGGCUUGAGUAUGGCAGAGGGGACUAGAAUUCCUGGUGUAGCAGUGAAAUGCGUAGAUAUCAGGAGGAAUACCGAUGGCGAAGGCAGGUCCCUGGGUUAAUACUGACGCUCAUGCACGAAAGCGUGGGGAGCAA